UUAACACAAGCAAGUUGGAACGGGAAAGGCCCCUGCUUGCAGGGUACUUCGAGUGGCGAACGGGUGAGUAACACGUGGGUGAUUUGCCCUGUAUUUCGGGAUAAGCUGGGGAAACUGGGUCUAAUACCGGAUAGGACCGUUCUUUUAGUGUAGGCGGUGGAAAGACUUCGGUCGGUUAGGGGAUGAGCUUGCGGCCUAUCAGCUUGUUGGUGGGGUAAUGGCCUACCAAGGCGUCGACGGGUAGCCGGCCUGAGAGGGUGUACGGCCACAUUGGGACUGAGAUACGGCCCAGACUCCUACGGGAGGCAGCAGUGGGGAAUAUUGCACAAUGGGCGCAAGCCUGAUGCAGCGACGCCGCGUGGGGGAUGACGGCCCUCGGGUUGUAAACUCCUUUCGCCAGGGACGAAGCGUUAUAGUGACGGUACCUGGAUAAGAAGCACCGGCUAACUACGUGCCAGCAGCCGCGGUAAUACGUAGGGUGCAAGCGUUGUCCGGAAUUACUGGGCGUAAAGAGCUCGUAGGUGGUUUGUCACGUCGUCUGUGAAAGUCCAGCGCUUAACGCUGGGAUUGCAGGCGAUACGGGCUGACUUGAGUGCUGUAGGGGAGACUGGAAUUCCUGGUGUAGCGGUGAAAUGCGCAGAUAUCAGGAGGAACACCAAUGGCGAAGGCAGGUCUCUGGGCAGUGACUGACGCUGAGGAGCGAAAGCAUGGGUAGCCAACAGGAUUAGAUACCCUGGUAGUCCAUGCCGUAAACGGUGGGCGCUAGGUGUGGGGACCUUCCACGGUUUCUGCGCCGUAGCUAACGCA
rnacentral:rRNA from 1 species